rnacentral:RNase_P_RNA from 1 species
GGAGACUGACAAAGGGGAGGAAAGUCCGGGCUUCAUAGAGCAAGGUGCCAGGUAACGCCUGGGGGGCGCAAGCCUACGACAAGUGCAGCAGAGAGAAGACCGCCGAUGGCCCGCAAGGGAACAGGUAAGGGUGAAAGGGUGCGGUAAGAGCGCACCGGACGACUAGUAAUAGUUCGUAGCAGGGUAAACUCCACCUGAAGCAAGACCAAAUAGGCCUCCACAUUGCGUUGCUCGCGUAAGGAGGCGGGUAGGUUGCUCGAGCCAGUGAGUGAUUGCUGGCCUAGACGAAUGGCUACCGCCGCGCAAGCGGAACAGAACCCGGCUUAUGUGUCGGCUCCACCU